ACUCCUACGGGAGGCAGCAGUAGGGAAUCUUCCACAAUGGGUGCAAACCUGAUGGAGCAAUGCCGCGUGAGUGAAGAAGGUCUUCGGAUCGUAAAGCUCUGUUGUUAGAGAAGAACACGUGCUAGGUAACUACUAGCGCCUUGACGGUAUCUAACCAGAAAGUCACGGCUAACUACGUGCCAGCAGCCGCGGUAAUACGUAGGUGACAAGCGUUGUCCGGAUUUAUUGGGCGUAAAGGGAGCGCAGGCGGUCUGUUUAGUCUAAUGUGAAAGCCCACGGCUUAACCGUGGAACGGCAUUGGAAACUGACAGACUUGAAUGUAGAAGAGGAAAAUGGAAUUCCAAGUGUAGCGGUGGAAUGCGUAGAUAUUUGGAGGAACACCAGUGGCGAAGGCGAUUUUCUGGUCUAACAUUGACGCUGAGGCUCGAAAGCGUGGGGAGCGAACAGGAUUAGAAACCCGAGUAGUCCCAU
rnacentral:rRNA from 1 species